rnacentral:rRNA from 1 species
GGUUUCGAUGAAGUUUUCGGAUGGAAUUGAAAUUGACUUAGCGGCGGACGGGUGAGUAACGCGUGGGUAACCUGCCUUACACUGGGGGAUAACAGUUAGAAAUGACUGCUAAUACCGCAUAAGCGCACAGGGCCGCAUGGUCUGGUGUGAAAAACUCCGGUGGUGUAAGAUGGACCCGCGUCUGAUUAGGUAGUUGGUGGGGUAACGGCCCACCAAGCCGACGAUCAGUAGCCGACCUGAGAGGGUGACCGGCCACAUUGGGACUGAGACACGGCCCAAACUCCUACGGGAGGCAGCAGUGGGGAAUAUUGGACAAUGGGCGAAAGCCUGAUCCAGCGACGCCGCGUGAGUGAAGAAGUAUUUCGGUAUGUAAAGCUCUAUCAGCAGGGAAGAAAAUGACGGUACCUGACUAAGAAGCCCCGGCUAACUACGUGCCAGCAGCCGCGGUAAUACGUAGGGGGCAAGCGUUAUCCGGAUUUACUGGGUGUAAAGGGAGCGUAGACGGUUAAGCAAGUCUGAAGUGAAAGCCCGGGGCUCAACCCCGGUACUGCUUUGGAAACUGUUUGAC